rnacentral:rRNA from 1 species
AUGAACGCUAGCUACAGGCUUAACACAUGCAAGUCGAGGGGCAGCACAGUGUAGCAAUACACGGGUGGCGACCGGCGCACGGGUGCGUAACGCGUAUCCAACCUUCCCGUUACUCUUGGAUAGCCUUCCGAAAGGGAGAUUAAUACAAGAUGGUAUUCAAAUUCCGCAUGUAUUUGAAUUAAAGAUUUAUCGGUAACGGAUGGGGAUGCGUGACAUUAGCUAGAUGGAGAGGUAACGGCUCCCCAUGGCGACGAUGUCUAGGGGUUCUGAGAGGAAGGUCCCCCACACUGGAACUGAGACACGGUCCAGACUCCUACGGGAGGCAGCAGUGAGGAAUAUUGGACAAUGGAUGGAAAUCUGAUCCAGCCAUGCCGCGUGCAGGACUACAGUCCUAUGGAUUUUAAACUGCUUUUGUAUGGGAGCAAUAAGUGCUACGAGUAGCGCGAUGAGAGUACCAUACGAAUAAGCAUCGGCUAACUCCGUG